GUGAGAUCUGGGGCGCGAGCCGCGGUAAUACAGGGGUGGCAAGCGUGGUUCGGAAGUACUGGGCGGACAUGGAGCGGAGGCGGCACGUCAAGUCGCGGGGGACAGCCCCCGGCGCAACGGGGGAACGGCGCGGGAAACUAGCAGGCUUGAGUGCGGGAGAGGGAAGCGGAAUUCCGGGUGUAGCGGUGAAAUGCGCAGAUAUCCGGAGGAACACCGGUGGCGAAGGCGGCUUCCUGGACCGACACUGACGCUGAGGCGCGAAAGCUAGGGGAGCAAACGGGAUUAGAUACCCCUGUAGUC
rnacentral:rRNA from 1 species